rnacentral:rRNA from 1 species
UACAGAGGUCUCAAGCGUUGUUCGGAUUCAUUGGGCGUAAAGGGUGCGUAGGCGGCGUGGUAAGUCGGGUGUGAAAUCUCGGAGCUUAACUCCGAAACUGCAUUCGAUACUGCCGUGCUUGAGGACUGGAGAGGAGACUGGAAUUCAUGGUGUAGCAGUGAAAUGCGUAGAGAUCAUGAGGAAGACCAGUGGCGAAGGCGGGUCUCUGGACAGUUCCUGACACUGAGGCACGAAGGCCAGGGGAGCAAACGGG